CUCAUUUUUUCCCCGUUUUCUUUUUUGUGUACGGUGGCCGAGCCUUGUCGCUGCUAUUGUAAUUUGCCUAUUUCUUAAUAUAUUUUCUAUUUACCGAGAAAAAAAGAAAAAAAGAGUACUCUGCAAUGCGUGUUAUGUCAUUUUAGAGACCCAUUACGUUUCUUCAACCUAACUGAUCGUUAUGCACUCCAAUAGUUACUUAUAGUUUCUCAGAUUAGUUGGAUACAUGGUGGAGCCUUGGAUUAAGAUAUGCAUGCUUACAAGAGUUAAUUGCUGUCAAUGCCACUUUCAAAAAAACUGAACAGAAAACUCGUUUCACCAAUGGACGCAUUGAAGGAAGAGACGCCCCUGUUCACUCUGAAAAGAUGCCUGUAGAGAUGAAGAGUCAUCUCCAAAGGGUGUGAUUUCCUCUUUAAAUAGGAGACUUGUUUUCAUUCAAAACACAUCUCUCAACUUUCUCUGUUUUCUUUCUUACAAGCAUCAUCAGUAUCAAAACCAGUGUGUUCUUGGUUGGAUCAAGAUCGUACAAGCUUUGAAUCCAACAACUGUUGUGGGGCUUCAAGUAUCCUGACGGCGAUAUUCAUUGACUUGUUUGUACUCGCCGAUUCAAUUGGGAAAGGGUCGAAUAAUUGUCGAAAAGAAUCUUUCAUUAGAGCCUUGAAUCCUAAUACAACAUUCUUUUCUUCACCCUGUUUUAGUGUCUAUUUUCCAACAUAUACAUGGUCUCUACUCUUAAUCUGUAAACAACUUCUGGUCUUCUACCGACACCCUAGGUUGAUUUAUAAGAAGAAAUUUAGUGAUUUACUAAAAUACGCUUGAACUAGUUCAAAUGUUGUAGCCCAAUGCACAGGCCCGGUCGCCAGGUUGUUGCAAUUUCUACAGUUGUGUACAGUUUGAUGACUACUUUGUCAUUUUAAAGUGCAUAAAUAAAUACUGCAUCCUCAUA